rnacentral:tRNA from 1 species
GCUGGUCUAGUUCAAUGGUAGAACACCAGGAUUCCAAGCUGGAUACGUGGGUUCGAUUCCCAUCACCCGCU